rnacentral:rRNA from 1 species
GAGGGGUGCAAGCGUUGUUCGGAAUUACUGGGCGUAAAGGGAGCGUAGGCGGAGAUUCAAGCGGAUUGUACAAUCCCGGGGCCCAACCCCGGCUCUGCAGUCCGAACUGGAUCUCUUGGAUAGUUCAGGGGCAGGCGGAAUUCCUGGUGUAGCGGUGGAAUGCGUAGAGAUCAGGAAGAACACCGAUGGCGAAGGCAGCUUGCUGGGGACUUAUCGACGCUCUUGCUCGAAAGUGCGGGUAGCAAACAGGAUUAGAUACCCUGGUAGUCCGCACCGUAAACGAUGCAUACUGGGUGUCCGCGGUUCGCCGCGGGUACCGUAGCCAACGCGUUAAGUAUGCCGCCUGGGGAGUACGUACGCAAGUAUG